UGGGGAAUAUUGGACAAUGGGCGCAAGCCUGAUCCAGCCAUGCCGCGUGAGUGAUGAAGGCCCUAGGGUUGUAAAGCUCUUUCACCGGUGAAGAUAAUGACGGUAACCGGAGAAGAAGCCCCGGCUAACUUCGUGCCAGCAGCCGCGGUAAUACGAAGGGGGCUAGCGUUGUUCGGAUUUACUGGGCGUAAAGCGCACGUAGGCGGACUAUUAAGUCAGGGGUGAAAUCCCGGGGCUCAACCCCGGAACUGCCUUUGAUACUGGUAGUCUUGAGUGCGAGAGAGGUGAGUGGAAUUCCGAGUGUAGAGGUGAAAUUCGUAGAUAUUCGGAGGAACACCAGUGGACAAGGCGGCUCACUGGCUCGAUACUGACCCUGAGGUGCGAAAGCGUGGGGAGCAAACAGG
rnacentral:rRNA from 1 species